AUGGAAACUGUUUCUGAUUGUGUAUCAAAAAAUGUCAUAGUCAGAAUUAAUGUGUUUUUUCCUUUUCUUGUUUUCAGUGCUGUUGACAAGUUCAUUGUUUGCCAGAGGCAGUUGCUGUCCUUGUUCACGGUUUGCCCUACAUGCUGUGGGGAAACCCAGGGACACAUAAUGCACCCGGAAGGAACUUUCAUAAAAGUCAAGCAGGCCUGCGGAACUUGAGGUUAUGAGCGUUACUGGCAAAACCAAGAGAAGGUGCAUCGAAACAUCCACUUCUCAGGUUGCAUGGCUACUCAGACAAUCAGGAUGCUGAAGCUGUUUGGACUGCAGUGCAUAAGUCCCGGCAAUUUUUCCGCCAUCAGCGCUAUUACACUAUCCCUACCAUUGUGCGGGCCUGGAGGAAUGAGCAGAGGGGGAUCAUCAGGGAGUUGAAGGAGACUGGGGUGGAUUGAUCCUGUCUGGUGACUGCAGGUAGAAUGGUCCAGCUCACGUCACUGAUGUAGAACAGGUCAGUGUGUUUUUGCAUUAACCUCUAAAUGUAACUGUUUUUGACGUUCUUAGAUCAGAUUCUCCUGGACACUGUGCCAAAUAUGGUAGCUACUCCUUGAUCGAGGAUCGAAUUAACAAGGUUUUGGAUGUUCAACUUGUCCAAGUAAGUUGAUGUCACAGAAUUCUUGUGUCUGAUUUAGUUACUGAUAUUACUGUAACUGUUCAGUAAUAAUCAGUUGGUUUUACAGAGCUCAGAAGUCCCAAGCAGCUCUUGGUGUGAGCUAGAGGGUCUAAAGCGGAGUAUGCAGUUCCUGAUGGACCAAGACAUGCAAGUGUCUGCUCUGAUAUAAGGCAGAAAUCGGCAGGUAAUGAUGCUAGGAGAGAUCUAAAGCUGAACAGCAUUGACAGGCACAGUAUCACUCAAAAUAAAUUCUAAAUUCUAUAAAAUCAGUUUGUUUUAGGCAACACAGUCUCACCCCUAUUCGUCACAUACUGCCGUUUGGUCAUUUCCCCCUCAUGUCCAUAAGCCGACGUUGAGGGUACCCCCUAUUCGUCGCUUGACAACGUAGAGGGUCGUCUGAUAGAUUUGAGUGCAAAUCCCUCAUCUUUGAAUUUUGACGAAAUGGGGUUAUCCAUCCAGCGGUUUGCCUGCGCUGGAAAGUAUGGUUUCAGGUGAUUGAUUUUAUGCUGCAAAUGUGUAUUUUGUAGUAGCGUGCGGCGCAAAUACUGUUAAAAUCAUUCAUUGGUGUGGUGACUAUACAUUUUCGUGGGGCAGAAACCGGUAUCACGACUUUUUCUGUCUCUUUUUUUAUAUAAUUUUGGGCUAACGUUACAUUAAAAUGACAUAUUUACAGGACUGUAUAUUUGCUGUAUGCUUAAUACAUGCCUUAAUUUAGGUGGGAUAUUUUAUAAUUUUCGAUCACAUACUGCUGUUUGGUCAUUUCCCCCUCACGUCCAUAAGCCGACGUUGAGGGUACCCCCUAUUCGUCGCUUGACAACGUAGAGGGUCGUCUGAUAGAUUUGAGUGCAAAUCCCUCAUCUUUGAAUUUUGACGAAAUGGGGUUAUCCAUCCAGCGGUUUGCCUGCGCUGGAAAGUAUGGUUUCAGGGGAUUAAUUUUAAUGCUGCAAAUUGUGUAUUUUGCAGUAGCGUGCAGCGCAUAUACUGUUACAGUCAUUCAUUGGUGCGGUGACUAUACAUUUUUGUGGGGCAGAAACCCUUGUCUAAAUCGGUAUCACGACUUUUUCUCUUUUUUAAUAUAAUUUAGGGCUACAUUAAAACGACAUAAUUGCACGACUGCAUAUUUGCUGUAGGCUUAAAACAUGCCUUAAUUUAGGUGGGAUAUUUUAUAAUUGUCGAUGGUAUUUCAAUUUGCAAUGGCUUAUAAUGAGCCUACAACUUUGCUUUUUUUGCGACAAAAAAAGAAUAGUCUACUUUUAUAGAUCUUUCAUCUCAAUACUGAUUAUGAAGUUGUGAAAAAUUAAAUAGCCUACUGCAGAAAUGUUUAUAUUGCUUAAUAUGGACAUAUCCUUUGGCAAAGAGAUGGAUGCAUUCUGGGAAGUGAUGUGUUUAAAUGUAAUGGCUACAUAUACCCGUGUUUCCUUCACUUAGACAUUUAUGCUGACCCUUUAAAAUUUUGAGCAAGGAUAUAAAAUAUUAAGACUGUACUUUUUCAUUAUGAUUGAUAUUUUGGCGCAAUUUUGUGCAACACGUCACUGUGUGCGACCAUCGCAGAAACCAUUGCCCAGCGCGAUUCCACCACGGUAAGUCGCUUACAACAGUCUAAUAAGCAAGAUAAAUGAAUAAGCAUUGACACGUCUAUACAUAUAUAUAGGCUAUACAUAUAUACACAACAUGUUUUUUUUUUCUUGGAAAUAAACUCAUAAUUUUAUUUUGGACGUGUAAAUGCUUAUUGAGGGGUUAUUGGGGGAUAUAUAUAUACAUAUAUAAAGUGUAUACAAGAACCCUGAUCAUGUUAUUCCUGUUUGUUUAUCCAUUUGAAUUAAGGCAGAACCAGGAUGUGUUCAAAAUAUCAAUAUUUUUAAAAUCAUUAAUUUUUAUAUGAUAUUGUGAUUGCAUGAAUGAACAAGAGCAGCAUUUACUUAACUUCUUAGCCUAGUAGUUAUUCAUAUUGUAAUAUGAGGUUUGGUGAUCUAUUAUUUUUUUAUUUGUUCUUCUCUUUCUCUGCAGGUUCCUUAAUCCCUGUCCUUUUAAAAAAACAGCACCUCAUUACAUCGGGAAAAAAAAGGCACUUUUAAGAGCCACAUUUGUUUUGUAUCUUGUUACUCUCUCUACUGUUGUAUUGUGUUCUCUCUCUCUCUUGCUGUCUUACUGUCUCUCCCUCCCCUCUGAGUGGGGUUUUUGUUUGUUUGUUUUGUCUUUUUUUGUCCCUGAGUGUUUAUA
ensembl:lncRNA